GGCGCGAUGGCGCAGUGGCUAGCGCUGCUGACCCUUAAUUUUCUACCCUCAGGUUCGAUUCCACCUAGGGUCA